GCUUAACGCGAAGAACCUUACCUACCUUUGAAUCCACGGAACCUAGCAGAGAUGUUGGGGUGCCUUCGGGAACCGUGAGACAGGUGCUGCAUGGCUGUCGUCAGCUCGUGUCGUGAGAUGUUGGGUUAAGUCCCGUAACGAGCGCAACCCUUGUCCUUAGUUGCCAUCAGGUUAUGCUGGGCACUUUAAGGAGACUGCCGGUGAUAAACCGGAGGAAGGUGGGGAUGACGUCAAGUCCUCAUGGCCCUUACAGGUAGGGCUACACACGUGCUACAAUGGGCAGUACAGAGGGAAGCCAACCCGCGAGGGGGAGCGAAUCUCAUAAAGCUGUUCGUAGUCCGGAUUGGAGUCUGCAACUCGACUCCAUGAAGUUGAAUCGCUAGUAAUCGCGGAUCAGCACGCCGCGGUGAAUACGUUCCCGGGUCUUGUACACACCG
rnacentral:rRNA from 1 species